GUCCCCUUCGUCUAGAGGCCUAGGACACCGCCCUUUCACGGCGGCAACAGGGGUUCGACUCCCCUAGGGGACGCCA
rnacentral:tRNA from 1 species